UUCUGCGUUCAAGGGCCAGAUUGCAUAACUUUAGUUGAUUCUGUGGUGGCAUCCCUUAAAGAUUUACUUCUGUGCAAGCCACUUAUGGUCCUCCAUGAUAGUUCAGAUGCUACCGCAUCCAAGAAGUUAAAGAUGAAUCAAAUUCUUCCCAAAACACUCAAAAAAAAAAACUAAAAUAUCUCAAUCAGCAUUCAAUCCCAUUGAAUUUCUCACACGGAUUUCGUUGACUAAUUCGUUAUUACUUGUUUAAUCGUUCAAAGCUAU